rnacentral:rRNA from 1 species
GGCUAAUCCUGGUCGGACAUCAGGAGGUUAGUGCAAUGGCAUAAGCCAGCUUGACUGCGAGCGUGACGGCGCGAGCAGGUGCGAAAGCAGGUCAUAGUGAUCCGGUGGUUCUGAAUGGAAGGGCCAUCGCUCAACGGAUAAAAGGUACUCCGGGGAUAACAGGCUGAUACCGCCCAAGAGUUCAUAUCGACGGCGGUGUUUGGCACCUCGAUGUCGGCUCAUCACAUCCUGGGGCUGAAGUAGGUCCCAAGGGUAUGGCUGUUCGCCAUUUAAAGUGGUACGCGAGCUGGGUUUAGAACGUCGUGAGACAGUUCGGUCCCUAUCUGCCGUGGGCGCUGGAGAACUGAGGGGGGCUGCUC